rnacentral:rRNA from 1 species
ACGGGUGCGGAACACGUACGCAACCUUCCUUUAAGUGAGGGAUAGCUUCCGGAAACGGAAAUUAAUACCUCGUAAGAUCACGAAGUGGCAUCACUUUGUGAUUAUAGCUCCGGCGCUUAAAGAUGGGCGUGCGCCUGAUUAGGUAGUUGGCGGAGUAACAGCCCACCAAGCCUACGAUCAGUAACUGGUGUGAGAGCACGACCAGUCACACGGGCACUGAGACACGGGCCCGACUCCUACGGGAGGCAGCAGUAAGGAAUAUUGGUCAAUGGACGCAAGUCUGAACCAGCCAUGCCGCGUGGAGGAUGAAGGUCCUCUGGAUUGUAAACUUCUUUUAUCGGAGAAGAAACCCCGACAUUCUUGUUGGGUUGACGGUACCCGAUGAAUAAGCACCGGCUAACUCCGUGCCAGCAGCCGCGGUAAUACGGAGGGUGCAAGCGUUAUCCGGAUUCACUGGGUUUAAAGGGUGCGUAGGUGGGAUGGUAAGUCAGUGGUGAAAUCUCCGGGCUUAACUCGGAAACUGCCGUUGAUACUAUCAUUCUUGAAUCUCGUGGAGGUAAGCGGAAUAUGUCAUGUAGCGGUG